ACUUUCUUAAAUAUGACAUGAUUUUUUGGCUUCUGAGGCAUCUUUUAAAUUGAAAAAUUUCAGAGAGGUUUUGGAUAAAGGAUAAUUUGAACUAUUCUCUUUUAUGCAGUGGGAAAUGUAUUUCAGCAGAUGGAUGAUGACAGCAUGUUAUGUGUGAAUGUGAGGAUGGCAAAUGUGAUCUUCAGAUGCUUAUUUUAAAACUACAGAAUACAUAUAGAGGGGUAAAAAAUCCGAUGACUGUUGUAGGUUGAAAUUUAAUGAUGUUUGCUUGCUCCCUCACUGCAAGUGUUUAAGACUAUAAACCACUGAUAUCUACUUUAUCCAUCAAUGAUUAUUAAUGAGAUAUGGGAAAGAUGUGUUUCACAGCAUGUUGUUCCUUUACACUGAAGAUCAAAAUUUACAUUAUUAAAACUCAUUUAACCACAUAUGGCUUUACAUUAAAAACAUUUAUUUAUUAAAAUCUUAAAAAAUAGAAACAUUUUAAAGAAAAGAAAAGUUUAUUAAUAUAAAAGCACAUUUUUGUAUUUCAAGGGACAGGUGAUCACAGAAAUAUACAAAAAUAGAUUAUCACAGGACAAAAAUGGAUUAUCACAGAAAUAAGCAAUAUUAUUGAUCACAGAAAUGUAUAAAAAAUUCCUGAGUUGUUUACAUAGUACAAAAAUAUAAAACAUCUUGGAACAUUACACUCUGCCUUUAUCAUACAGCAGACUCUGUUGUAACCAGUCUGGCUGUAAUUGGUCAUAUUUAAAGCUUUUUUUCGGUUGAAGUUAACCAGCUCCUCACUGUAAAUUGUAAGAAAUGUGCACCAAAUUGCACUUAGAUUACAUUAUUACUUUAUAUAGAAAAUAAGUAAAAGUAUUGAUAAUCAUAUUUUUAAAAAUGCUUGAGUUUCAAUAAAUGGUUGUUAUCUAUGCCUUUGAGAUCCUAAUUUCAUCAUAUACAGUUCUUAUUUAUUUAAUUUUUAAAAAUUUGUAUUAAUCUGAAAUGAUAAAUUAAGAAAAACGAAAAAAAAAAAAAAAAUUUUAA